rnacentral:rRNA from 1 species
CCUACGGGUGGCAGCAGUGGGGAAUAUUGCACACUGGGGGAAACCCUGCUGCAUCGACGCCGCGUGAGUUAAGAAGUAUUUCGGUAUGUAAAGCUCUAUCAGCAGGGAAGAAAAUGACGGUACCUGACUAAGAAGCCCCGGCUAACUACGUGCCAGCAGCCGCGGUAAUACGUAGGUGGCCAGCGUUAUCCGGAGUUACUGGGUGUAAAGGGAGCGUAGACGGCCAGACAAGUCAGAAGUGAAAGCCCAGGGCUCAACUCUGGGACUGCUUUUGAAACUGCCGGGCUGGAGUGAAGGAGGGGGAAGCGGAAUUCCUAGUGUAGCGGUGAAAUGCGUAGAUAUUAGGAGGAACACCAGUGGCGAAGGCGGCUUACUGGACUGUAACUGACGUUGAGGCUCGAAAGCGUGGGGAGCAAACAGGAUUAGAUACCCUAGUAGUC